CCUACGGGAGGCAGCAGUGGGGAAUUUUGGACAAUGGGGGCAACCCUGAUCCAGCAAUGCCGCGUGAGUGAAGAAGGCCCUCGGGUUGUAAAGCUCUUUUGUCAGGGAAGAAAAGGUUGCGGCUAAUAUUCGCGACUCAUGACGGUACCUGAAGAAUAAGCACCGGCUAACUACGUGCCAGCAGCCGCGGUAAUACGUAGGGUGCAAGCGUUAAUCGGAAUUACUGGGCGUAAAGCGUGCGCAGGCGGUUUUGUAAGACUGUCGUGAAAUCCCCGGGCUUAACCUGGGAAUGGCGAUGGUGACUGCAAGGCUAGAGUUUGGCAGAGGGGGGUAGAAUUCCACGUGUAGCAGUGAAAUGCGUAGAUAUGUGGAGGAACACCGAUGGCGAAGGCAGCCCCCUGGGUCAAAACUGACGCUCAUGCACGAAAGCGUGGGGAGCAAACAGGAUUAGAUACCCUGGUAGUCCACGCCCUAAACGAUGUCUACUAGUUGUCGGGCCUUAAUUGACUUGGUAACGCAGCUAACGCGUGAAGUAGACCGCCUGGGGAGUACGGUCGCAAGAUUAAAACNCAAAAGGAAUUGACGG
rnacentral:rRNA from 1 species